rnacentral:lncRNA from 1 species
AUAGCACAUUGUUAUAGCAUUUUUGUAAUAAAUGCUAUAAUUGAUUAUUCCGUUCUAAAUAAUAAAUGAAAAUAUAAAAACAAACGCUAUAGUAUUAACGAUAUUUUUUUGACGGGUUUUAAAAAUAAAAAAGGUUUUUGGUUAUAUAAAAUACCCAAAUUCGACUCGUCUCUUCCAAAGCCACACUUUCUCUGGUGGAGUCGUUCAUCCAAAACGAACGCCGUCUCCAUCUCUCUAUGGCACCGAUAUGC